rnacentral:lncRNA from 1 species
UAUAGAUACUAGUUAUCAAAUAACAGCAAUUUACACAUAUGCUCUUUUCAUGCUGUCAUUUGUCAGAAUAAGGUUUUUGUUAUAUAGAGAGAGAUUUAGAUCAGUAGCUAGAAAUUAGUUUAUGUUACAUUGAUUUGUUAAGCAGAUUAUGGAUGAAGAGUACAAGGAGUUAUAGCUGACGUAGAUCAAUCUCUAUGUAAUGAAGGUAACAUCUUUCAGUCGAUUCUGUGAACUCAACGAAGUAUCAGAAGUUCUUAAGUAUUUUUUCUUUAUAUUCAGUGAUGAAAACAAUACAGUCUGUGGAGCUUAAAGUAGAAAAACUGGCAUGAGAAUAUAGCUUUUUACACUCUAAUUAUAAUUCAGCAAGGAUAAAGCAAAAUGGGUACAAAGCAGACUUGUAACUUGGUUUCAUAUUUGUAGAAGUGACUAAGCAACUUAUAAAGAAAUAAAUUAAUGGAAGAAAUCAGCAAGGAAAGAGUUGAUGUCUUACAAGAAAUGUACAUUAAAUGAAUUUGGAUUUUAACUAGUGCUCCAUUUGUGACAUAGUGUCCAUGAUCCAUUCAUUCAUAUAAUUUAAUUCACUAAAAAAACCCGUGUCUAUUUUAAGCUCACAACAUUUUAAAAAUCUGUAUAAUCUAAGAUGAAGCCUGUGGUUUUAUGUUGUUGUUGUUUUAAUUAUUAUUAUUCUAAUGCUUGUCUUUUUAUUGUCAUGAGUUUCUUAUCCUUCCCUGCUCACCUUCUAUUUAGGAAUAUCUGAACUGAAAAUUUUCCUGAUUGACUUUUUUUUUUUUUUUUUUUUUUUUUUGUCUUUUUAAAUACUGGGUUACUGUUCUAUAGUUUUGCUAAUAUGACUAUGUAUGAGCAUUCUAGAAUAUCUUAGAUGAUUUGGGGUAUGUUCUCUAUGCAAUCCCUAGAUGUACAAAUGAUUCAGAAGAGGGGCUGCAUCUUUAAUUGAGUCAGGAAAAUGAUGAAGGAUACCACCAAAAAUGAUUACUGUUGUGGGAAACAAACAAAUAGAACUUUCAGAGCUGUGUGUUUCAAGCCAUAGAUUAAAUCUCCACAAGACCAUGUUGGAUUGUGCUUUGAGUAAUUUGGUGUCAUGGAAGGUGACUCUGCCCACAGAUGGAAAACUGGAACUAAAUGGAACAGGAUCUUUAAAGUCCUCUUUAACUCAAACCAUUCUGUGAUUCUAUGAUUACUAUAAGCCUAGCACUUAUUUAUUCCUAUUUCUAGCUCAUGUCAAUUUCUUCUGUGCCUCCUAUGGCUAUUAUAGAAUUCCUCUCUGGUUUCUUUUAGUAAUUAUCUGGUGAAUCAGCAAUUUCACUUUUUAAAAAGGUAAAAUAUACAAAAUCUGUUCUUUCCAAAUUCAUUGUCAUGUUGGUGUACUUAUGUAAGUACUUUUCUCAAAAAGACUGUAGAAAUGAUAAAAUUGCACUGUGUUUAAGCUGAAGGCUCAAUGAUUAAAAAAGGAAUGU